CCUUUGUUCGCCAUUACAGCAGAUGUGAUGGGAGAUGUUGGGAUUUAGAGAUUCUUUUAUUGCUGCCAUAUACUCUGCCUUAUGAUAAAUGCAUUAAUAACAUGUUCUACAGUAUUAUUUUAUUAGUAAUAUUGUUUACAGGGUUCAUAUUGCAUUGAAUAUGUUUGUCAUCACAUUCAUUCUAUUCACAGGUUGAGUUCAUUCACAGGUUGAGUUCAUUCUAUACACAAUGCAUAACUGUGCUUGUUUAGAGUUGAUGUUCUAUCCAAGAGGGUUUUAAGCUUCACUGGUGAGAGUGUCUAGGUGAUACAUGUUGAGGGAAGAUGAGAACAUAGCAGGUUAAUUGCAUGCAUGCUUACAAUACACAUAAAUCUAGUAGCAGGCCUGAGCGAAGGCCCAAGUGUCUUCUGCUUCUUAUUUGAGACCUGCGCCAAUUCAGUCUACUUAGUGAUUGAGGACGAGGGUCCAUUAUUAGCCCUUAGAGGCCCUGAAGCUUGAAGUUAUUACCUUAAAAGGAAGGUGUUAUCAAAAAGAGAAGUUAUAUGUCUGUUUAUAGUUAUUAAGAUGUACAAGAUGUACCCUUGUCUGUAAACAAUGACUGGACAUAAUGUAUUUUUGACCUGUAUUGACGUGUAUGUGGGGGUGUGAUCCUCUAUGCUAUAAAACCAGAACUCAGUGUAUUUUUGUCAGAGCAAAUAAGCCAUAUGCUGAUGGUUGUUCUCCGUUGUCAAUAAACUCAUCGUUUGAUUGCACUUUUCUGGGCCUCCGUCGUUUGUUGUCUGGUCUACAGUUGAUCGAUCUCGCUUCAUUUGGUGGAGGAUGCAGGGCAACUAAAGAUCAGCAGUAAGAGGUACAGGUGAUCGAACGGCAGACGUCACGGUGAUCGCUUGACUAUUGGGCCCACAAAAAGGUAAGGCACAAACCUCUUAAACUGAAAUUGUGCUGUAGUGGAUUAUAAUUCUAGAAUAUGUAGUCAAGUGGUCAUCCGUUGAUCUCUGUUUUGAGUUUUGUUUGAAACGAAAACCUUUGUUGCAACGAA
ensembl:lncRNA